AUUGAACGCUGGCGGCAUGCUUUACACAUGCAAGUCGAACGGUAGAGGGGGCAACCCCUUGAGAGUGGCGAACGGGUGAGUAAUGCAUCGGAACGUGACCAGAAGUGGGGGAUAGCUAGGCGAAAGCCGGAUUAAUAAGGCAUGAGACCUGAGGGUGAAAGCGGGGGAUCAAGUAGCAAUAUUUAGACUCGCGCUACUGGAGCGGCCGAUGUCAGAUUAGGAAGUUGGGGGGGUAACGGCCUACCAAGCCGACGAUCUGUAGCUGGUCUGAGAGGACGACCAGCGACACUGGGACUGAGACACGGCCCAGACUCCUACGGGAGGCAGCAGUGGUGAAUUUUGGACAAUGGGCGAAAGCCUGAUCCAGCCAUGCCGCUUGCGGGAAUAAGGCCUUCGGGUUGUAAACCGCUUUUGUCAGGGAAGAAAUCCUUUGGGCUAAUACCCCGGGGGGAUGACGGUACCUGAAGAAUAAGCACCGGCUAACUACGUGCCAGCAGCCGCGGUAA
rnacentral:rRNA from 1 species